CGGUGUCGCCGCCGCGGCUCGCGUCACACGAGCUCCUUCCACCGCCGCUCUCAAUGCGUUUGCUCCUUUCGUCGUCACACGAGCUUUCUCGGCCGUGCACUUGUCUUACGAGCUCCCUCCGCCGCCACUCUCGCGCUGCUUCUUCUCUCCUCGCCGGAGGUCCACUGAAGGUUACACCAUUUAUGGUCGAGUGAAGAUCCCCAGCAAUUUAGGAACAAAAGACUAUAUAAUUCCCGGAAAAGUGUCGAAUGUCAAAGUCAUACUCAAUGGUGGUCAGA